CAAGCCCAAGUGCUGCAAAUGAGAGGGCCCUGAAGCAAGGGUGCAAUCUCUGCUCGCUAAAUCACUGGGCUGUGCUCAUCGGCCAUAAACAUGUCACUGCUGAACUGGGUCAUUCCUCUGCGAGCGUGCACAUCAAAGCUGGCUCUGAUGUGGCCUCUGCCUGACAGUUGGUGAGACUUCCCCUCUCAUGUCCUAGUUCCAUCAAUUCUAAACAGGCAAAGUCCGGUCUGGUUUAGAAUGGUCCAGGCAAUUCAGGUGAGCGUUUCCACUCA
rnacentral:lncRNA from 1 species